AUGCUCUUCAGCAGCACAUAGACCAAAAUUGGAGUGAUACAGAAAAGAUUAGCAUGGCUCCUGUGCCAGGAUGACAUGCAAUUUCAGGGAGCAGUCCAUAUUUUU